rnacentral:rRNA from 1 species
UAAUACGUAGGGAGCGAGCGUUGUCCGGAUUUAUUGGGCGUAAAGAGCGCGUAGGCGGCUCGGUAAGCCGGAUGUGAAACCUCCAAGCUCAACUUGGAGCGGCCAUUCGGAACUGCUGUGGCUAGAGUCUGGUAGGGGAACACGGAAUUCCUGGUGUAGCGGUGAAAUGCUUAGAUAUCAGGAGGAACACCAGUGGCGAAGGCGGUGUUCUGGGCCAGUACUGACGCUGAGGCGCGAAAGCGUGGGGAGCGAACAGGAUUAGAUACCCUGGUAGUCCACGCCGUAAACGUUGGGCACUAGGUGUGGGACCCUAUCGACGGGUUCCGUGCCGUAGCUAACGCAUUAAGUGCCCCGCCUGGGGAGUACGGCCGCAAGGCUA